rfam:Biomphalaria glabrata isolate BB02 unplaced genomic scaffold LGTN_random_Scaffold8978, whole genome shotgun sequence.
GCUGUGAUGGCCGAGUGGUUAAGGCGUUGGACUUGAAAUCCAAUGGGAUCUUCCCGCGCAGGUUCGAACCCUGCUCGCAGCG